rnacentral:rRNA from 1 species
AGAUUAAGCCAUGCAUGUCUCAGUAUAAGCUUCUAUACGGCGAAACUGCGAAUGGCUCAUUAAAACAGUUAUAGUUUAUUUGGUGGUCAGCAAUUACAUGGAUAACCGUGGUAAUUCUAGAGCUAAUACAUGCGUCCAAACCCGACUUCGUGGAAGGGUUGUGUUUAUUAGAUACAGAACCAACCCAGGCUCCGCCUGGCCUUGAGGUGAUUCAUAAUAACCGAACGAAUCGCAUGGCUAUGCCGGCGAUAGACCAUUCAAGUUUCUGACCUAUCAGCUAUCGUCGGUAGGGUAUUGGCCUACCGUGGCAAUGACGGGUAACGGAGAAUUAGGGUUCGAUUCCGGAGAGGGAGCCUGAGAAACGGCUACCACAUCUAAGGAAGGCAGCAGGCGCGCAAAUUACCCAAUCCUGACGCAGGGAGGUAGUGACAAGAAAUAACAAUACAGGGCAUACAUGUCUUGUAAUUGGAAUGAGUAAACUUUAAAUCACUUUACGAGUAUCAAUUGGAGGG